UCUUGAAAUAAGUGGUUACCAAAAAUAUAUGGAUAUAUACAGAGCUGCAGUGAGCUGAAACCUAUUCUGGGAAAGAGUGCAAGUACAGAAAAGAAGCAUACAAUCUAGAGCUGCCAUUAAACCAUCUUUGAGAGGAGGAAGAAACAAGAGCACCUGGAAAAAACCCAUGUACCUAAGGGGUAAACAUGCAAACUCCACCUCAAGGGGCCUCCUUCCAGGUCUCUGGACCGGGUGUGUGAACAUUUUGUGCUUAAUAAGUGCUGCCUUAAAACUGGCCUGGUGCUUCAAAGGGACGGGAUUACAGUCUUUAUUCAGUAAUUAAUAUGGCUGAAAGAAGACUGACAGCACCUGAGGACUGGACAGCACAGCCAGAAGCCUGCUGAGGGCUGAGAGCCUCUUCCCACAAUGCAACAGAAACAAGCCACAACCAAACAAUACCAUGCUCUCCUGGCAUUCAAAAUACUGUAUAAUCCUUUUCUUCAUGGAAUAAAAAAAAAAACAACAACGAGAUUUUGUGUGACCUCUCUGCCCUUGAUAUUUAUCAGUAAAAAAUCUUGAUGUGUGUUCACCCUUUGACCUCCCUUGUCCAGCUAGGUCAUUUUCAUUUCCCACCAGCUGUUAAGCAAAAUAGGCAGGUCUUUCAAAGGGAAAGCAAUUCCUUUACAUUUUAAAAAAUAAUCAUGCCAGUGACAACAACUCUA